CCAAAAUUUAUGUUUGAUUCACAAUCUGACUUUGUCAAAUUUGUUUCUGUUUGUACAUGUGCCUGCCUGCAUUUGUUGUCUAUCACAUAAAAUGCAAUCUAAAGAUUCAUAGUUACCUAAGUUGCACAGACACAUGCACGGACAGCAACAUUUAAGCCCCUGUUUGUUUCCCAUUAUUUGUUCAUUAAAAUGAAAAAUAUGAUCGUUAUCCAUCAUAUCAAGCCAACAUAUUUGACUUUCCAUCUUUGUGUGGGGUCCAUAACGACUAUAUUUUUCAUUCUCAUUCUUCUAUUAAUGUGGUUCAAAUGGGGCCUAACUAUUGGAAAGGUAGGACAUGACGCAUUGGAAACAAGUCGAUUUUGAAUUCUUUGAAAUUUAAAAUUUAUAUACAGUAUCUUUAUUUUUAUAUAGGACACGGCCACAUGGCAUAUCGAAAACUUACUUAGGGAUGUCUCUAAAGUAUCCUUUUAGUGUUGAUAAUUUAAAAAUUAUAUAACAAAUUGGACAAGGGCAUGUAUUGGCUACAUGUUCUCGAGUAGUGUCUGACUGUCGAGGUUGGACACGAUACGGCAUGACACGUGUUGGAGACAGACACAUUGACCUCGCAAGUGUUCGUGCAUCAUAAGUAGUCACAACUUCAGCAUUCUCCUAUCUCUUGUGCUUCCUGCAGUAAAAUUUUGCAGUAUUUUAAUCUUAAUAACAUGCUGGAAACAGUUUUCAUCAAGACUCUCUCCUGGUAAUUUUUCGUCAUUAAAAGAAAUCGCUCCAAGUCCAGCCCUGUGAUUUCCUACUCUUUUCUUUAGCCGAAAGGUCAAAAAUUUAGCAGCCAUGAAGAGUAAAGUAGUGCAGAGGAACCAUAGUGUUACUCCCAUGAAGAAACCAGUUGUUAGUUCCAGAUUUGCAGCUUCUUCAUCCUCCAAAACUCGCUAAGCCACUGUAAACGAGACUCAACAUGGCCUCAAUGAAUCUUUGACUCUCUAUUUUGAGUAAGCAAUGUUGUAAAUUAUGUACUUACAAGCAUCAGAACACAAUAUAUAUUUCAGUACAAUUGUUCCUCUGUUUAU